rnacentral:rRNA from 1 species
GCCUUAGUAGCGGCGAGUGAAGCGGCAAUAGCUCAAAUUUGAAAUCUGGCGUCUUCGGCGUCCGAGUUGUAAUUUGAAGAAGGUAUCUUUGAGGCUGGCUCUUGUCUAUGUUCCUUGGAACAGGACGUCACAGAGGGUGAGAAUCCCGUGCGAUGAGAUGCCCAGUUUCGUGUAAAGUUCCUUCGACGAGUCGAGUUGUUUGGGAAUGCAGCUCUAAGUGGGUGGUAAAUUCCAUCUAAAGCUAAAUAUUGGCGAGAGACCGAUAGCGAACAAGUACUGUGAAGGAAAGAUGAAAAGAACUUUGAAAAGAGAGUGAAAAAGUACGUGAAAUUGUUGAAAGGGAAGGGCUUGAGGUCAGACUUGGUUUACCAGGCCAGCAUCAGUUUGGACGGCAGGAUAAUAGCUAAGGAAUGUGGCAGCACUUCGGUGUUGUGUUAUAGCCUUGGUUGAUACUGCCUGUCUAGACUGAGGACUGCGUCUUUGACUAGGAUGCUGGCAUAAUGACCUUAAGCCGCCCGUCUUGAAACACGGACCAA